UGCACUGCAGUUGAUGUCCGUGAUGCCGCCACUUCACCCUCAUGUCAAAUCCCCACUAUAGCUGACGCAGCCCAACCCGCAGGACCCUGGAUGCAGCGGCCUUCAUGGACAAAGCCACUGGCUAUGGUUUGCUAACAAUAAAGCAGGAUAAUAUUUUGGUGUACCAAAGUUCUUUAUGACACAAAAUAUAACUAAAAUAUAUGUUUGUAUUAGCUUCAUCUAAAAUAAUAUAAACCUUGGUUAAUCAAGUUAGGAUUUCUUACAAAUUGUUUUAUCAAAAACAGGAAGGUUACAAGAUCAAAAGAGCAGGAAAGGAUCAAGACAAGACAAUAGUAACAAAGGGACCUACCAAAAAUUAUCAUUGGGUGCCUCGAUAGUGGAACCACUUAAUAAAGAUUUCUGGGUUACAUUAGGUUCAAUAUCAAGUGAUCUAGCUUCGAAGCAGAAGGGACUCAGGUGACAAGCAAUUGGCAACACAAGCAUUUGAUCGUGCUCGAAGCAUUGAUCCCUCAUUUGCCUUGCCAUGGGCUGGAAAUAUCUCUACAGUUGCCAGUGGACCUGUGAGUUACAAAUGGCUGGGAGUCCCGGUGGGUGCAAUCUGAUUGUAAAAGGAGUGAAGGGAAAGCUGGAAGGUUUAAGCACACGGCCGGAACAUACUCUGGAGAUUCUGAUGCCAAAGAUUUAUUUUUCAUCCCUCAC